rnacentral:lncRNA from 1 species
GCCAGGAGACAUUUGUGUUAUCACUACUAGUGCAGUGCCCGUAAGAAAAGUGUAUUCCUAUAAAAAAGUGGGAGGUUAAGGAGCUUUUUCAUGGAUGGCCAAAUGAGGCUGUGUUUGAAGGUGGGGCGUCAGGGAUAUUUAGGUUUGUUGUGAAAUCUGAUAUUCCAGGGUAUAAUUGGCCAGGUCUGCCUGUGCUCCUUCCAGCUGAAUGAAGAGCUGCACUGCCUGCUCCACAUUCAGCUUCUCCUCAUUAAACAAAAAAACGACUCCACUACUCACUAAACAGACUACACCAAACACUACAUAACACACUAACUACACACUCCAAACACGCUAAAUGUCACAAAUCUCUCACCUCUCACACACACCGACCGUCGUUGCAUGUCAAUCAUCCGCCUAGGUCCCUCCCACAACUUCCUGUUCCUCAACAACCAAACUUGCUGCUUGGACACUUUCGUGACAAAAGCCCGUCACGUUUGCUUUGUGUCUGGUGCAGGAAGAAACGGUAAAAAACGGGCUUUUGUCAUGAAAGUGUCCAAGCAGCAAGUUUGGUUGUUGAGGAACAGGAAGUUUUUGGAGGGACCUAGGCGGAUGAUUGACAUGCAAUGACGGUCGGUGUGUAGACAGCGAUAUUGAGAGUUGAGAGAUUUGUGACAUUUAGCUUGUUUGGAGUGUGUAGUUAGUGUGUUAUGUAGUGUUUGGUGUAGUGUGUUUAGUGUGUAGUGGAGUCGUUUUAUUGUUUAAUGAGUCAGAAUGAGGAGAAGCUGAAUGUGGAGCAGGCAGUGCAGCUCUUCAUUCAGCUGGAAGGAGCUCAGGCAGACCUGAGCAUUGCCUGCAUUUAAAUGUAAAUAGUUACAUAUAACUUUGUAAAUUUUUUAAAUGUAUGCACAAAUUUAGCAAACAACAAUUUAUAUUUGCAUUAUAAGUUUAAAAAAAAUGGUUUGUUAAACAUAUUUGUAGUUUUCACAGUAAAAAAAUCUAACUUUUCUACUCGGAUUUUAUGUUUUUUUUGUGAUUUUAGGUCCAUUGUGUUAAUACAGUAUGUCAAAAUGAAAAAAGAACUGUACAGUCACACAUGUGAGGUUGUGCUGAAAAUAAUGACACCAAGUAAAGAGCUUUUAAGGUGAAAU